GGUGGCUCAGUGGUAGAGCACUUGCCUUGCAUGCAUGAGACCCUGGGUUCAAUUCCUCAGCACCA
rfam:Dipodomys ordii contig_71375, whole genome shotgun sequence.